GAGGAGACAGCCAGGCAGAUCAAAGUGUCAUUAAAGCACACAUACAAUCCAUCAAAAAGACAUCCACCUGCACACAGCCACCAACCCCAGCACACGGCCACUGCUGCUCUUUAGAAAACACCCACAGGUCUGUAAUCAGAGUGUGUCUGAGUGUGGGGGAGUGUAUGAGAGCAUGUCUGAGUGCUUGGGAGUGUUUAGGAGUGUCUGAGUGUAUGGGAGUGUGUGUGUGUGUGUGUGUGUGUGUGUGUGUGUGUGUAUAUGUUGGAGCGGGAGUGUGUUCAAGUGUGUUGGAGUGCUUGGGAGUGUGUGAGAUUGUGUCUGAGUGUGUUGGAGUGUGUGAGAGUGCAUGGAAGUGUUUGGGAGUGUGUGAGAGUGUGUGAGAGUGUGUGAGAGUGUGGGAGUGUGUCUGAGUGUGUGGGAGUGUAUGGGAGUGUGUGGGAGUGUAUGGGAGUGUGUGGGAGUGUAUGGGAGUGUGUGGGAGUGUGUGGGAGUGUAUGGGAGUGUGUGGGAGUGUUUGGGAGUGUGUGGGAGUGUGUGGGAGUGUGUUUGGGAGGGACAGAGAGAGACACUGAGAGUGACAGAGAGAGACACUGAAAGGGACAGAGAGAGACACUUGAUGAUUUGAUCUAAGGCUGAGACAAGAGAGGGAGACAGAAAGGGAGAGAGACACAGAGAGACACAGACAGAGAGAGAGAAAUCGAGACAGAGACUGGGCGAGUGAGUGAGAAAGCGAGGAAUAGAAGAGAGUAGCUGCUGUGUCUCUGAGUAUUAUGGGACAUAAAUACACACAUGCACUCAGUUUUGUGGUAGUUUUGUGGUAGCUACUCCUGAGUGCUGCUCGCAUUUGUGAGGGUGAGGCAAGAGCUCAGGCAGCAGAGCGCCCCGUGGUCGGCCCGUCAAACAGAAAAGGAUCAGUUGAAACAUCCUGUGCUCCGUGGCUGCGUCCGAGGUGCCACUUUAGCCAGGAAUAGAGCUCCAAAGUUGGCUAAAAUGGUCGUCUUCCAAUGGACUUAAAAGGUCCAUUAUCAGUAAGCAUUAAAAUAUAUAUAGUGUGAUAUGCUAGUUGUCCUGC
ensembl:lncRNA